rnacentral:rRNA from 1 species
AUGGCUGAUGGAUCCUCCGCAAUGGCAACCUCGUUCGUGAACGUCCCGAUAGAUGAUGGGCUGCUGAUCAAGAACCUUCCUCCGCUGUCUCCAAUCCACGUCACCAUCAGCAAGCAAUUCAUUCUUGAACGAGCAAUUGAAACAAUUGGUGGCACACUCCAUCCAUUCACUUUUACCGGUACAAGCAGCGAUGAUGUCGACGUCUCUCUCUCCAUUGACCUACCUCCCCACAGCAAAAGCAUGUCAAGCACAAGAAAGGAAUUCCAUGCCCCACACAUCGAAUCUACAUGUGUUGCUGCCCUCGCGUACCUACAGAAAACAGGUAUAGUCACAAUCGAUGAUGCAAACUUUGCAGAGCUGAAAAUAUGCAAAAGGAAACUUCAGGCUGUGGAGUUCUGGUCCUCGACUCUCUAUGAUAAGGCCAAUGCCCUGGGCAACCAGCUCUCUUUACUGACUGCCGCCAAGCAGAAACCCCAGCCUGAGGAUAAACAAGGAGCUGCUGUGUUGCCUCCUAACCAUCAUAAUACUCCACAGACCAGCCAGAAAGUGCUUUCCGAGCAUGCCACUGGAAGGGAAACCACAUCAACCCCUGUCACAGAAACAAACAAUAGGUUCGUGCGAGGUAGUCCCUAUGAAGUACAUCGACAAGCUGGAUGGAUUACGGCGCCUAUUAGUAUGCUUAGUAAUAAUGACUCCUUAGUUGACAAUGUUUAUUAUGUUCCUGCCCUUAUUACCUUCUCUUAUGUGUUCUCGCUUUUGGUAUUGAACCUGAUGUCAAAUGGCUAUCUUUUGUGGUCAUGUAAACGCACCAAGUUUGAUUCUGCCUUAUAA